UCAGGGACACCUGGGUGUGGAAUGUUGUGAUCAGGGGACACUUCAGGAGUCUUUGAUGCCUUCUAAUUUCAUACAGCUGCCCAUCACAUGAGUGCAGCUGGGCCCAUCACGGCCCAUCAUGGCCCCUCAGCAGAGUGAACACCUUCAGGCCACCUGUGAAUGCCCCAGGAAUUCCAGAGCAGGGGAGCUACCACAGCUGAGUUCUCUGACAAGGACAAGCAGACAAUUCCUGCCUCACAGGGUUCCCCUCUUUCCUUAUCUCAUCCAUCACCAGUUGCAGCCUGAGCUGGGCUGUGCUCACCCUCGGUACUCUGCACAGCAGCAGCUUCCCUCUGGUUGUUUGAGCCAUCAGCAUCCCAGUCUCUCUUCCAGGAUCAUUUCUGGAUACAUUUUUUCUCCCCACACCUGGGAUUGGACAGUAAUAUCCCCUUUAUAAGUCCCAAAUUCCAGUCAGGAGGCAUAUUUGGGGAAGGGUGGCUUUGAUGGUCACAGCUGUUUCUUUGCAGUUUGCUUUACAGCAGGCAAAACUCCUCUGAUAAUUUUAGCCAUGAAAACAUCAACCAUUCAGUGUCUCACAGGAGAUGGUGCUUAAUUGCUAAAUGUUCCUUCCAAAGGGAUAACACUCCUGUUCCUCAGCAAAUCCAGGAGCCAGUGGAGAGGAACCAGGCGUGGACUCAGCUCUCUCCUGUCUCCUGCUCAGACAGUGCCCACAAAAGCAUGAACUCUCCAGUGCAAAGACCAUUUGCAUUUGGGACUGACGAGUGGCAGCUUUCCCAACUGAGUGAUAAUAUUUUAAUGGAAGGAAGGCAGAAGAAUAAUCCAAUCAGGAGAAUGUGGCGGUUUGGCUGACAAACAGGAAUAGCUGGGGGCCACAGGAGCAUGAGGAGGUUGCUGCUGAACCAAUGACUUUUGGGCAUGGAUUAACUCAGGGACUUGAGGAAAAGGACUGGAGAAGCCAAACAAUGAUCCUGAGAUGUGACCCCCAUCCCCUGAAGAUCCCCUUCUUUGAUGUAUUUCAAAACUGGUAAUAAAUAUUUAUAACAUGGA